UCCGUGGUGGCUUAGCUGGUAAAGGAUCUCCCUACAAUGGAGGAGACCCAGGUUCAAUCCCUGGAUCAGGAA
rnacentral:tRNA from 1 species